rnacentral:rRNA from 1 species
AUUGAACGCUGGCGGCGUGCUUAACACAUGCAAGUCGAUCGGUAACAGGUGUAGCAAUACAUGCUGACGAGAGGCGGACGGGUGAGGAAUAUUUGGGAAUCUGCCCAUCAGCGGGGGACAACCCGGGGAAACCCGGGCUAAUACCGCAUACGCUCUACGGAGGAAAGCCGGGGACCGCAAGGCCUGGCACUGAUGGAUGAGCCCAAAUCGGAUUAGCUAGUUGGCGGGGUAACGGCCCACCAAGGCGACGAUCCGUAGCUGGUCUGAGAGGACGAUCAGCCACACCGGAACUGAGACACGGUCCGGACUCCUACGGGAGGCAGCAGUGGGGAACAUUGGACAAUGGGGGAAACCCUGAUCCAGCGACGCCGCGUGGGUGAAGAAGGCCUGCGGGUUGUAAAGCCCUUUCGGUAGGGACGAAAGCUCUUGCUCUAACAAAGCAGGAGGUUGACUUAACCUACAUAAGAAGCACCGGCUAACUCUGUGCCAGCCGCCGCCGUAAAAC